UACAGGGGGGGCAAGCGUUGUUCGGAAUUACUGGGCGUAAAGGGUCUGUAGGUGGCCAACUAAGUCAGACGUGAAAUCCCUCAGCUUAACUGGGGAACUGCGUCUGAUACUGGAUGGCUCGAGUGUGGGAGAGGAAUGCGGAAUUCCAGGUGUAGCGGUGAAAUGCGUAGAUAUCUGGAGGAAUACCGGUGGCGAAGGCGGCAUCCUGGACCAUUACUGACGCUGAAUCGCGAAAGCUAGGGGAGCAAACGGG
rnacentral:rRNA from 1 species